GGGGCAGAGGGAGAGAGAGAAUCUUAAGCAGGUUCCAACCUAGGGCUCAUCUCCGGACCCUGAGAUCAGGAAAACAGGUCCUGGUUAGAGUCUGCUAAAGAGAGGCACUCCCUCGAGAUUCGGAACGUGGAUGAGAAGGAGCACCAUUGUCUGGAAGCCUUUGCCAACACACAGCGGUUGUGCUUCGAGGCUGACGACGUGAGAACUGCCUGGCUCAGCGCCCCAGUUCACUCCCCAGACCCUCGCAUUCCCAGCCCUCCCGUACUUGGGCAAGCCUCUCAUUUCCUAGAUGGACUUCAGUUUUCCCAAUCAAAUACUCUGUAUAAGCGGUGGGAGCUGAAAUAUUUCUGCAAACAAAUGAAGCAAAAUGAAGUAGGAUCCAGAGGUGGAAAAGAGCAUGGUCCAGCAGUUCUGGGGCACACAGGAUGAGAUUCAGACUGGCGUCUUGUGCAGGUGUUUCCAUCGCAAGAGAGCGAGGGCACCAGCAGGGGCAGGGGCAGAG